rnacentral:rRNA from 1 species
GAACACGGAGCUUGCUCUGUGGGAUCAGUGGCGAACGGGUGAGUAACACGUGAGCAACCUGCCCCUGACUCUGGGAUAAGCGCUGGAAACGGCGUCUAAUACUGGAUACGAACCACGAAGGCAUCUUCAGUGGUUGGAAAGAAUUUCGGUUGGGGAUGGGCUCGCGGCCUAUCAGCUUGUUGGUGAGGUAAUGGCUCACCAAGGCGUCGACGGGUAGCCGGCCUGAGAGGGUGACCGGCCACACUGGGACUGAGACACGGCCCAGACUCCUACGGGAGGCAGCAGUGGGGAAUAUUGCACAAUGGGCGAAAGCCUGAUGCAGCAACGCCGCGUGAGGGAUGACGGCCUUCGGGUUGUAAACCUCUUUUAGCAGGGAAGAAGCGAAAGUGACGGUACCUGCAGAAAAAGCGCCGGCUAACUACGUGCCAGCAGCCGCGGUAAUACGUAGGGCGCAAGCGUUAUCCGGAAUUAUUGGGCGUAAAGAGCUCGUAGGCGGUUUGUCGCGUCUGCUGUGAAAUCCGGAGGCUCAACCUCCGGCCUGCAGUGGGUACGGGCAGACUAGAGU